UUACAUGCAGUUUUUUAUAAGAGGUUUUGGCAUAUCAUAGGUGAGGAUUUGACUGAUGAAGUGCUCAUUGCUGUUAACUCAAGGAAGAUCCCAGAAGGAUGGAACAACACCACCAUUGUCCUAAUUCCGAAGGUUGAAAAUCCAACACUUAUAACUCAAUUCCGGCCAAUUAGUUUGUGCAAUGUGGUAUACAAGGUGAUUUCCAAACUUCUGGCUAACCGUCUGAAAUUUAUCUUGACGGAGAUAAUCUCGCCAAACCAAAGUGCAUUUGUUCCGGGGCGUCUCAUUACUGAUAAUUUUCUGGUUGCCUUUGAAUCAUAUCAUGCGAUCAAGAAAAAAACUAUGGGCAAAUAUGGUACAUGUGCGGUGAAGCUUGACAUGCACAAGGCGUAUGAUAGGGUGGAGUGGAAUUUCUUACAGCUCAUCCUUCUACGUUUGGGCUUCACGCCACUCUGGGUGGACCUGAUUAUGGAGUGUGUGAGGUCCGUCACAUAUCAGGUACGGGUUAAUAAUGUGUUGACCGAUUAUUUUGUUCCAUCU
rnacentral:rRNA from 1 species